GCUCACGAGAGGCAGCGACAAGCACCUGGCUGGCUGCCCGGCAACCGCUACUCCGUCUGCGGUGCUCCAGGGGAAGAGCCGGUGUGGACGGCGCCCGCCGUCCGCGCAACCGACGGAG
rnacentral:ncRNA from 2 species